rnacentral:rRNA from 1 species
CAUGGGCCCUUGCUUAACACAUGCAAGUCGAACGGUGAAGCCCAGCUUGCUGGGUGGAUCAGUGGCGAACGGGUGAGUAACACGUGAGCAACCUGCCCCUGACUCUGGGAUAAGCGCUGGAAACGGCGUCUAAUACUGGAUACGAACCACGAAGGCAUCUUCAGUGGUUGGAAAGAUUUAUUGGUUGGGGAUGGGCUCGCGGCCUAUCAGCUUGUUGGUGAGGUAAUGGCUCACCAAGGCGUCGACGGGUAGCCGGCCUGAGAGGGUGACCGGCCACACUGGGACUGAGACACGGCCCAGACUCCUACGGGAGGCAGCAGUGGGGAAUAUUGCACAAUGGGCGCAAGCCUGAUGCAGCAACGCCGCGUGAGGGAUGACGGCCUUCGGGU